GCUCCUAAAUGAUGAACCUUUCAUCAAGGAAGACCUUAUAACAAUUCAGAAUCCUAAUGCUCUUGAUUUUGAUCUUGUUAAAAAAGGUCUGAAACUUGAUGAUGAAGAUGUUACAGGAGCUUGGAACUGAGAAAGGAAAACAAACUGCACUGCUUAUUAAAUAUCAGCUGCCUUUAGAAAUUAUCAGCGGUGGAGAAGGUUAUUGUUGAUGACAAUGAAGAAGAGGAAGGGAAGGCCAAAGAAGAGGAAAAUGCUGAGGAUGAAGAUAAAAUUAACUCUUUUAAAUAUCAGCUGCCUUUAGAGAUUAUCAUUAUU